CCUACGGGAGACAGCAGUGAGGAAUAUUGGUCAAUGGCCGAGAGUCUGAACCAGCCAAGUCGCGUGAAGGAUGACUGCCCUAUGGGUUGUAAACUUCUUUUAUAAGGGAAUAAAACUAUUCACGUGUGCCUAUUUGCAUGUACUUUAUGACUAAGGAUCGGCUAACUCCGUGCCAGCAGCCGCGGUAAUACGGAGGAUGCGAGCGUUAUCCGGAUUUAUUGGGUUUAAAGGGAGCGUAGAUGGUUUGUUAAGUCAGUUGUGAAAGUUUGUGGCUCAACCGUAAAAUUGCAGUUGAUACUGGAAGUCUUGAGUACAGUUGAGGUAGGCGGAAUGCGUGGUGUAGCGGUGAAAUGCUUAGAUAUCACGAAGAACCCCGAUUGCGAAGGCAGCUUACUAAGCUGUGACUGACACUGAUGCUCGAAAGUGUGGGUAUCAAACAGGAUUAGAUACCCCUGUAGUC
rnacentral:rRNA from 1 species